rnacentral:rRNA from 1 species
GAAUCUUGAGAGCGGCGCACGGGUGCGGAACACGUGUGCAACCUGCCUUUAUCUGGGGGAUAGCCUUUCGAAAGGAAGAUUAAUACCCCAUAAUAUAUUGAGUGGCAUCACUUGAUAUUGAAAACUCCGGUGGAUAGAGAUGGGCACGCGCAAGAUUAGAUAGUUGGUGAGGUAACGGCUCACCAAGUCAAUGAUCUUUAGGGGGCCUGAGAGGGUGAUCCCCCACACUGGUACUGAGACACGGACCAGACUCCUACGGGAGGCAGCAGUGAGGAAUAUUGGACAAUGGGUGAGAGCCUGAUCCAGCCAUCCCGCGUGAAGGACGACUGCCCUAUGGGUUGUAAACUUCUUUUAUACUGGGAUAAACCUACCCUUCGUGAGGGUAGCUGAAGGUACAGUAUGAAUAAGCACCGGCUAACUCCGUGCCAGCAGCCGCGGUAAUACGGAGGGUGCAAGCGUUAUCCGGAUUUAUUGGGUUUAAAGGGUCCGUAGGCGGACUCGUAAGUCAGUGGUGAAAUCUCAUAGCUUAACUAUGAAACUGCCAUUGAUACUGCGGGUCUUGAGUAAAGUAGAAGUGGCUGGAAUAAGUAGUGUAGCGGUGAAAUGCAUAGAUAUUACUUAGAACACCAAUUGCGAAGGCAGGUCACUAUGUUUUAACUGACGCUGAUGGACGAAAGCGUGGGGAGCGAACAGGAUUAGAUACCCUGGUAGUCCACGCCGUAAACGAUGCUAACUCGUUUUUGGGUUUUCGGAUUCAGAGACUAAGCGAAAGUGAUAAGUUAGCCACCUGGGGAGUACGUUCGCAAGAAUGAAACUCAAAGGAAUUGACGGGGGCCCGCACAAGCGGUGGAUUAUGUGGUUUAAUUCGAUGAUACGCGAGGAACCUUACCAAGGCUUAAAUGGGAAUUGACAGGUUUAGAAAUAGAUCCUUCUUCGGACAAUUUUCAAGGUGCUGCAUGGUUGUCGUCAGCUCGUGCCGUGAGGUGUUAGGUUAAGUCCUGCAACGAGCGCAACCCCUGUCACUAGUUGCCAUCAUUCAGUUGGGGACUCUAGUGAGACUGCCUACGCAAGUAGAGAGGAAGGUGGGGAUGACGUCAAAUCAUCACGGCCCUUACGCCUUGGGCCACACACGUAAUACAAUGGCCGGUACAGAGGGCAGCUACUAUGCGAAUAGAUGCGAAUCUCGAAAGCCGGUCUCAGUUCGGAUUGGAGU